rnacentral:rRNA from 1 species
AGAGUUUGAUCCUGGCUCAGGAUGAACGCUAGCGGCAGGCUUAACACAUGCAAGUCGAGGGGCAGCGGGGUGUAGCAAUACACUGCCGGCGACCGGCGCACGGGUGCGUAACGCGUAUGCAACCUACCCAUAACAGGGGCAUAACACUUAGAAAUUAGGUACGUAAUUACCCUACUAACAAUUCGUAAGAAGGCAUCUCUUU